AUGGAGGUUCCCAGGCUAGGGGUCUAAUUGGAGCUGUAGCCCCUGGCCUAUGAAAGAGGCGCAGCAACACAGGAUACAAGCCACAUCUGCAACCCACAACACAGCUCACGGCAAUGCCAGAUCCUUAACCCACUGAGCAAGGCUAGAUAUCAAACCUCGACCUCAUGGUUCCUAGUCAGAUUCAUUAACCUCCGAGCCAUGAUGGGUACUCUGGCAUCACUUGUUUUUGAAAUAAGUACUUGGUUGUAGAAAUAGGCUGCGGGGAGAAGAACCUGCUGUCAGAAACAUUAAUCAGGACUGGUAUUUUGCCUAGCGAUUUCUAAACCAGAUUACACAUAAGAAUUGUCUGGGGGAGUUUUGGUCAAAAUAUAGAUUCUGAAGUAUUACCAUAGAAACUGAUUCAGUAGGUUAUGAAAGUUGUCUGCUAAUAUUCAUGUUAUAAAUACUUUUCAGGUGAUUAAAAUGUAUUUUAAAUUCUUUGUGUAAUAGGAUAUUAGAGUUUUUCAGGAAGACAAAGAAAUCAAAAUAAAUUAGAAUGUGAAGUCACUAGGAUCAGGUGACAUGAGAUAUCAAGGGUGGUUAGUAAAGAAGAGAGUGUAACUGGGUAGCUUGGAAGAGUAAUCAGAAGUUGAGAUUGAGAAUCAAAUGCAAUGGCUAGUUUUUAGAGGGGACAAUCUCAACCUCCAGGUGCUACAUACUAACAUUAUGGUACGAACAAGUGUUUAAUAGCAAUAAUGAUUUGGGAAUUUUUGAGGUAGCUAAAAUCAAAGUAUGUAUGUCCUCUCCAUACGACAAUGUGCCUAAAGUAAAGAAAAGUAAACCAUGAAAAUUAGCAUGGGAACAUUGUAGUAAAGACAUUACAAAUGGAGAUACAUUAUUUAUUAGAUGGAUAACCUCUGAUCAUCUUUUCUAUCAUAUGAGUGUUAGUAGUGGAAAAAAGCUGUCAUCCAUUCUAGGAUGCCAAAAAGGCUAGAAACUGACUUUAAUCUUGCCCUGAGAGGGAAGGGACUAGAUAUAGGGUUAGCAACUCAAACUCACCUAUACUGGAAUGACAAUAUGAAGAGGGGAGAAAGAAGUCAAAAGUGGAUGGAAGAGAUUUUUGGUUGCAAGUGAACCAGAGGUGCAAGACACCAGAAUGCAUUCUGUGCCCACAUCAGUGGCAUUGUCAGUAUGAAUUGUUGCAUUCAAGUUCAACUCUAAUUGAGCUAGAGUCAGAACAUGGUUUUGGGCGUCAGCUUCAUUCUCUGUUUUCUACCCAUUUCACCAAUGAACUUCUCUAACUACCCUAGCAAUUCUAGGUUUGAACCAAUUUCCAUUCAGUUAAUCCAUUGUGUCUUAUAACCCAGAGCUCUGGCUCGCUCAAAAGGAGAAAAUAAAAAACCAGAAAAGGCUGCUGAGCAGAGAGGUCCGAAAAGCAGGAGGGAGUUGGAAAGCUGAGACAUGGUCACUUAAAGAGAGAAAUGCUCAGAAAAGACAAAGGAAAGUACAGUGCCUAAAGCAUAAUGAAUCUUCUGAUGGGAUAACAACUGAACAAGAUAACUGAGUGCAGGAAUUAGGAGACUUUCAGUGGCUUUAGUGAGAGCAGUGUCCAUUUUGUGAUAGAGUUGAAGUUCUAGAAUAAUGAGAAAUGAAUAGGAAGAAAGUGACCCAGCACUAUGAGAAUGAAAUAAAGUAUCAAAGAUGUGGAGAAGAGAUGUGAAUUUGUCUUGUAGGAUGAUGUCAUGAAAGUUGUCAGAAAAGAGAGAGCUCGGUUUGAGAGGAAAGAGGAUAAAGAAGAGUAACUGGAACUUUGGAGGGUGAAAAGAGAAGCCAAAAAAGACAAAGGGACAUAGAUGCAUAAGUGUAGGAAGGACAAGGUAAUGAAGAGGGAGAGAGGAAUUACCAGAGAAAGGAUAAAGAGGAAAUAAAGGGAAAGGCUUAAAGGUAGGGCAUAAAUAUUUGUCUUCACUCUAAUUUUCAUUGAAAGUCAUCAGCACUAGGAAUGCUUUCUUUUCCUAAAAAUCCCAAGUUUAUUUUCCUAUGGAAUACAGGCUUUCAUUUUAACUUUACUUGAUACCUGUGUAUUGUUGAUGUAUGUGCUACUGCUACCUAGUAUCUUUGUUAUCAUUAUGAUUAGAGCUGACUUUCUCUAGAAAUCCUACUGGUUUUACUUGAAAGCUAUUGCCUCUCCACCAGUUGUAUAGGAGAAAAAAUUGAGCCCAAGCUAGAAUAUUAAUACAGACAGUAUAAAUGAAAGCAAAAGCUGCAGUUAUUGUAUGUAUAUUUCUUGGAAUCGGCUUCCUUCCAUACAAUCCCAGAUACCUAGGUAAUCAAAAUAUCAAUUUAAUAUGUGAGAACUUAUUAAGUAAUAAAGCUGUAAAGAGCACUUGAGAAACAUUUUAUGCAUACAUUGCUUUAUAUAUUUAUACACACAAAUAUAUAUAAACUUUCUGGCGUUUUGUAUAUAUAUAUGUGUGUGUGUGUGUGUGUGUGUGUGUGUUUGUAUACAUAUAUAUCUAUGUAUGAAACUAAAUGUCAAUGAAAUUAUUUUAAUUUCCAAAGAAAUUACUGAAGGAAUUUGGUUAAAGGAUAAAGAGAUGAAAAUUUAAGUGAUUUAUCUUAAAAUUUAAUCAGCAUGUGUUUAAUUUUAAAGGAAUAUGUAUUUACAACAGAAUUAUCAGAAAGAUUUCUUACACAGGAAAUAUUAUGACCUAACUCUCUAAACUUACUUUUGAAUUGUUUAACAUUCUAGUUCACCAAAACAUAUCCUCUGGAGUCAUUAUGAUUAUUCUAAUUAGAUAAGUGUAUACAGUUAAAGAGCACAGUAUAGUCUUAGAGCUAUUUUAUGCAUAAUAAUAAAAUAUACAGAUUAUUCACUGUUUUCAUUUAUAACUGGUUAAUUUGGCAUUUUGUAAACCAAAUCAAAAUUAUUAUAAAUUUAACAGCAUUUUAACUUUCUCUAAAAAUAUAAUCAAUGUUAUAGAAAUAAUUCUCUCUUACCAAUAGUUACUAAAUUGUUGAGAUCCUUUUAGUGUUUGCUUUGUGAAAUCAAAAAUAAAAUAACAUCACUGCAUUGACAAUAACACAGGCAGCAAUACUUUACACACCAAUUAAUUUUGGAGGCUUCAUCAUCCAAGCUUAAGAAAACUUGCUUUGAACAUAGGAUUCAACCAAGAGUACAACUAUAUGCUUUUGCAGAAGAGGGAGAAGUAACAAAUUGAAAUUCCCCAGAUAGCACUCAUGGCCUCCCAUUAGCAAAAGACUAAGCUAUUCUCCUGGGCGUUUUGGACUUGGACAUUUAUGAGAAAUGCAGCUUGUUUCCCAGGACAUCACAGGCUCUGAAAUCAUAAACAUCAGAAACUGUAAACAGCUCCAGUUUUAACAACUAGAAUUUUACUUCAUGCCAUUACUUCCCACCACAGAGGACACUCUGACAUCUUUAUGCACACUCCAGUGUAUUUGUGGUACCUGAUACCAUACUUUGUUCAGUAUGAUCUUGUCUGAGCUAAUCAUACAUGAUUUUAAUGAGACCAAUGUUCUAGACUCCCUUAGGUGGUGACUUUAAGAAAGUUGACUUUCCCUUGUAAAUGUAUCUCUGUUCCAAUAUAAAUGAUCCCAGAAAUCCUAGAUUAUUGGAAAAGCACAGUAUGGUAAAUGUGUCUUGCAAAGAGGGAUGAGGGAGGAGCCAGAUGGGGUCAGGGAAGGUGGCAUAUGUGAGUAACACAGGGUCUGGAGGCUGGGUCAUGGAGUUCAUACUUCACCUCAAUUUAGAGGAAAACUAUAGAAGGAUUUUUAACAUACUUAGAUUUGACUUUUGUGCAAUAAUGAAGUUGUCAGUGAACACUUGUUCAAAAAAUGAAACAAUAAUUUAGUUUUUGUUAUUUUGAGGUCAUAUCUGAAAAAAAAAAUAGUGUACUCUCCACUUGGGACAUCCUUGGCUGGAUAAGAGUAGAGCAACCAUGUCCUUUCAGUAAACUGAUAAAACAGUCAUCUGCUUCCUUACAAUUUUGUUGGGGGAACCCAAACUGUAAAAGAAAAGUAACAUAGGAGAGAGGAGAUCCUGGGAAAAGUACACAUGAGUGUGGAGUAGGGGAAUGUGAUAUACAGCAGCUGCUUUAGCAUAACCAACAUUUAAUGUAAAUUAACUGUCACCUUAAAUUUUGUGCAUUUACCACCUAAAUCAUCUGGUUGCUUAUCUGUGAGCCAAAAGGUCUGUGUUGUUGCUUCCAAUAGGGGCAGACUACAUGAAACUUUACUGAAUUUUAUUCCUUUGGCAUAUAUUAACCCUGAAAAUUUUUGCAAUAGGAGAUGUCAUCAUCAAGUAUUUUUUUUAAUUAAAUAGGUGUUUGCAGACCAUAGGCUUCAAGGAAAAUAACAUGGUUUCAGAAAUACUAAUCAGGAAGCCAUGACUAUUUUCCCAUGAUUCUCAAACCAGAUUACAUAUCAGAAUCUUCUGGGGGAGGUUCUGGAACAAAAUAUAGAUUCAGAGGUGCUAUAAAAAUUGAUUUAGUAGAUCAUGAAUGUCACCUAGUAGUGUGCAUUUUUAAAAUGCUUCCUAGGUGAUUAAACUGUAUGCAAAACUCUUACUCUCUGUGUGAUUUUUGGGGGCAUGAGGAGGAAUUAAAGAUAAUCAUUCAAAUAAAUGAGAACAGAGUCACAUGCACUGGUGAGAUAUUAGAUAUGAAUGGGUGCUACUACAGAGAGAAUCACAUGGUGACUCAGUAGAAAGUUAGCAAAUAUGGAGAUGAAAACUCAGAUGCAAUGGCCAGUUUUUGCACAGAGCAGUCUUGACAUCCACAUGAUACAUACUUGGUGAUAUGAUUCCACAAAUGCUUAAUAAGAAUAAUCAUUUGGUAAUCAUUGAGGUGGCUAAAAGCAAAGUUAACAUAAAACAAGACACAGAGACAUUUAUCUUAAUUAAAGGUGGGAAAUGGGGGACUCAAGUUCUGGAUGACAAAGAACCCCCCCUCAACAAACUACACUGCUUUUAUUGUGCUUAUUAGGAUCAUGUUAAUUGAUCAGUGUGUUGCCAAUGCAGGAUAUGGUUCUUUUUAUUAUUUAAAAAGUUAUUUUAUUAUUUUAAAAGUCACAUAGCUGGUAGAUGGUUAAGCUUUUAUUCUGACAUUUAGGCAUUUAACAAUCCUUGGCAUUGAGGAAUCUUGGUGUCAGCUAUCUAUGUAUAGCAUCCAGAGAUUCAUCAUUGUGCUUCUGCAAAUGGCAUGCCUAUCUAAGGGAAACUGGGUAUGCCUAGGUCUGCAUCUCAGGUCUCUUUGCUGAUGCAUAUUCUCCUAACGAAUGCUCAUAAACCACUUGGAGCUAUGAGGUUCCUCUUUCUUUGAUUUACAGGACAUAUCAUGCUGUGCAAAUGGCAUGCCAAUCUGCAUAGGUCUGGCAUUAUGUCCUCAUUCAGCUGACCAUAUGAAUAACUUAAGCCUUUUGGUACUUCUUCUUAAGCUAAAGUCUUUACCAGCAAUGUGACUGUUUUUCAAGCAGGAAUAUGGCGUAAAGUAACACAGGACAAGAUGGAGUUUUCAGCAUAGAAAAUAGAAGCAAAGAAGCUUUAAAAAUUGGGAUUGCUGGAUUAUAUGGUAGUUCUAUAUUUAGUUUUCUGAGGAAUCUCCCCUAGUGGUUGUUCCAAUUUACAUUUUCCACCAACAGUGAAGGAAAGUUUCUUUUUCUCCACAGUCUCCAGCACUUGUUACUUGUUGACUUGUAAAUGAUGACCAUUCUGACUAAGGCGAGGUUAUACCUCAUUGUCAUUUUGAUUUGCAUUUCUCUAAUAAUGAGUGAUGUUGAGCAUUUUUUCAUAUGCCUACUGGCCAAACAUGUCGUCUUUGGAGAAAUGUCUCUUUAUGUUUGAAGAAGCAGUAUUGGCAAAAGGUCUAUGACACAAAAACAUCUACAAAUUCACUGCAGUCCAUAUCAAAUUACCAAGGACAUUCUUCACAGACUAGAACAAAAUAUUUCAAAAUUUGUAUGGAAACAUGAAUGAUCCCAAAGAGCCAAAGCACUAUUGAAAAAGGAAAAUGGAACUGGAAGCAUCAAGCUUCCUGACUUCAGACUAUACUACAAAGUUAUAGUCAUCCAAACCAUAAGGUAAUAGCACAAAAACAGAAAUAUAGUCAAUGGGACAGGACAGGAAGCCCAGGAAUAAACCCAAACACCUAUGGUCAACUAAUCUUUGAGAAAGGAGGCAGGAACAUACAGUGGAAGAAAGAUAAUUCCUUUAAUAAUUGGUGCUGCAAAAAACAGACAGCUACAUGUAAGAAAGAGAGAUACCCACUUACACAUGCUAUGUAUUUGUGCCUUCAAUCAUUUUCAUAUUGCACAUAUUUCACAAAUUCCUAUUUAGGAGCUCAAGUCUGUAAGCUACUGUGCUACCUAAUACAAAAGACAGAAACCUUAUAACAUUGUCAUCUAAAAAAGCUUAUAGACCAAAAUAUGAUCAUAUUAUCACACAUGACCAAGUGGGGCCAAGAAGAAUAAAUAAACUGGCA
rnacentral:lncRNA from 1 species